AAAGUUUUUACUUGAAUGUGAAAUAAAAUCAAUAUAUAUUCUAAUAAAGAAUUAUAAGAAAUAAUAUUGUUAACUAACAAAUAUUUCCAAAAAAAGUCAAUCUUCGUCUUUAAAGAAAAACAAAAUGGAAAUAAGAACUGUAAAAGCUGUCACAUCUAUAGCAAUCAUCAUCUGUGCAAUAGAUUUAGGAACAGCUAAACCAUUACCCAACGUUAGAACGAAUGGAGACUUGCAAUCGAGACGAAUAAAAGAAUUUCCAGAUAUCGCAGAUCACCGAAUUGAGGUAUUUUGGAA